rnacentral:rRNA from 1 species
GAUUAACGCUGGCGGCGUGCAUAACACAUGCAAGUCGAACGAUGAAACUUAAAUGAUUUCUUCGGAAUGAACUUAAGUGGAUUAGUGGCGGACGGGUGAGUAACGCGUGAGUAACCUGCCUUACACAAGGGGAUAGCCGUUGGAAACGACGAAUAAUACCCUAUGAAACUAUCACUUCGCAUGAAGCGAUAGUCAAAGUGUUAGCGGUGUAAGAUGGACUUGCGUCUGAUUAGCUAGUUGGUGAGAAAAAAGCCCACCAAGGCAACGAUCAGUAGCCGGCUUGAGAGAGUGUACGGCCACAUUGGGACUGAGACACGGCCCAGACUCCUACGGGAGGCAGCAGUGGGGAAUUUUGCAUAAUGGGGGAAACCCUGAUGCAGCGACGCCGCGUGAUUUAGAAGGCCUUCGGGUUGUAAAAAUCUUUUGUAUAGGAAGAAAAUGACAGUACUAUACGAAUAAGGUCCGGCUAAUUACGUG